rnacentral:rRNA from 1 species
UACGUAGGGUGCGAGCGUUAAUCGGAAUUACUGGGCGUAAAGCGUGCGCAGGCGGUUCGUUGUGUCGGUGGUGAAAUCCCCGGGCUCAACCUGGGAACUGCAUUUGUGACUGCACGGCUGGAGUGCGGCAGAGGGGGAUGGAAUUCCGCGUGUAGCAGUGAAAUGCGUAGAUAUGCGGAGGAACACCGAUGGCGAAGGCAAUCCCCUGGGCCUGCACUGACGCUCAUGCACGAAAGCGUGGGGAGCAAACAGG